rnacentral:rRNA from 1 species
CACUCUAGCCAGACUGCGGUGAAUAAAGUCGGAAGGAAGGGUGGGACGACGUCAAAUCAUCAUGCCCUUUAUGUCCUGGGCUACACACGUACUACAAUGGCCGUUACAACGGGAAGCGAAGGAGCAAUCCGGAGCAAAUCCCUUAAAGGCGGUCCCAGUUCAGAUUGUGGGCUGAAACUCGCCCACAUGAAGGCGGAAUUGCUAGUAAUUGCAGAUCAGCAUGCUGCAGUGAAUACGUUCCCGGGCCUU